GUGUUUUUAAAAACAUUAUGCUUUCUUUUCAACAAGUAAAAAUAAAUAAAUAGGCGGUACAUUUAUGUGUAAUCCAAUUGAUAAUAUUUCUUAAGGUGUGCACUUAAUUUAUUGACUGUAUCAUAGUGUAUCCCUCGUGAAAAUGGAUCUAUUUAAGUACACGGACGAGUUAUCUGAAAUCACCCGACAAAUAGAACAAAGAUAAAAUCACUCUGGUCUAUCGUCCGAUUUGAUGAGGUAACGGACUGAGUGGGAUGAUUAUUCAAUGUUUUAAAUAUUGCGUACACAUGUAGUGUAUAAAAUCAAUUGCAUAUGUCAAUGACGGCAGUGAUUUAAAUGGACGUUUGCUCGGGACCAGAUGGACGCUGAAAAGGUCAUAGUAUGAUCAAAACCGACAAAAUGGAAGGGAAGGUUUCAAACAACAUCACAACCAAAAGUGGCACGAGUGAGCAGGAAACACUGGUUUCGUAUACAAAUAGAGGAAACACACAAAGGGUUCCCGAAUACUUUGCUCUCUUAUCUAUCCGGAUGACGCACGUAUUGAACGACAUCGGAGUCGAAAGACGAACUGUUAUGAAGCGAAGAAGAACGUUUUUGUGGUUAGAGAGAUGCGCACAGAUAAUUGGUUGUUUACACGGUAGCAACAUGGAGUGUUUCCAUUUUGGGAGUCAGUCAGAGGGGACUACCACACCCGGUCUUCUGUCCGAUAUUGAUAUUUUAUAUGGCAGAAACGAGGUAAAUAUCAUGACAGACUGGGAAUAUUGGAAGGCUGAGAUGAUGAACCUUUUGAUGCUCAAAUGCGACAAUUCACCUCCACAACAGUACCUGUUACAGCUCAUAAUGAGUGACAGGCCAGUUCCAGAGACUCGUCUGUUUGAUAAAAUGCUUGUGAAGAAUGGGCCUGAGCAGCUCCUUUUUAGCUCGGAACAAUUUAAAAACAGUGUUGAACGUAUUCAUGAGAAUAGAGGAACAAUAAAGAAAGAAGGACCGUCAGUGAGCUUUCUCACUGAGUGGGAUAUAGUACAUGCCUUUUACACUCGCGAGCCUCUUCCUGAAAUACAACACUGGAUAGGCAGAUGCCAAGGUAGACGCUGGCCUUCUCCGAAGCUAUUAGAAGCUGCACGGGUAACUGCGUGUUUUUUGGUACCCGCAGGUCAUCCAGACAGUGUUUACCGAAAUGAAGAAUGGCGACUGUCUCCGAACUUAGUGGAACGCAUGUUGAUGUUUAGUUUUAACACGGCCCAGAUAAAAUGU